UGGGGAAUAUUGCGCAAUGGGCGAAAGCCUGACGCAGCGACGCCGCGUGAGGGAUGAAGGUUUUCGGAUCGUAAACCUCUGUCAGAAGGGAAGAAACCGCACUGUGCUAAUCAGCAGUGCCUUGACGGUACCUUCAAAGGAAGCACCGGCUAACUCCGUGCCAGCAGCCGCGGUAAUACGGAGGGUGCAAGCGUUAAUCGGAAUUACUGGGCGUAAAGCGCACGUAGGCUGCUUUGUAAGUCAGGGGUGAAAUCCCACGGCUCAACCGUGGAACUGCCUUUGAUACUGCUUAGCUUGAAUCCGGGAGAGGGUGGCGGAAUUCCAGGUGUAGGAGUGAAAUCCGUAGAUAUCUGAAGGAACAUCAGUGGCGAAGGCGGCCACCUGGACCGGUAUUGACGCUGAGGUGCGAAAGCGUGGGGAGCAAACAGG
rnacentral:rRNA from 1 species